UCGGGUUAACUUGAAAGUGGCUAGCCGUUGCCUUCUGCGUGAGCAGGGCUGCGUGUCAAGUCUAUGGACUCGACUCUUGCACAUCUACGUCUUAGGUUUGCGCCAAUUCGUGGUAAGCUAGGGUCAAUGAGCUUAUAGGUGUUAUAAAGACUCGCUGGUGUUUGUCUCCUUGAGGCAUACGGCUUAAUCAAAACUCUCAAAGUUUGACCUCAAAUCAGGUAGGAAUACCCGCUGAACUUAAGCAUAUCAAUAAGCGGAGGAAAAGAAACCAACCGGGAUUGCCUUAGUAACGGCGAGUGAAGCGGCAAAAGCUCAAAUUUGAAAUCUGGCGUCUUCGACGUCCGAGUUGUAAUUUGAAGAAGGCAACUUUGUAGCUGGUCCUUGUCUAUGUUCCUUGGAACAGGACGUCAUAGAGGGUGAGAAUCCCGUGUGGCGAGGAUCCCAGUUAUUUGUAAAGUGCUUUCGACGAGUCGAGUUGUUUGGGAAUGCAGCUCUAAGUGGGUGGUAAAUUCCAUCUAAAGCUAAAUAUUGGCGAGAGACCGAUAGCGAACAAGUACAGUGAUGGAAAGAUGAAAAGAACUUUGAAAAGAGAGUGAAAAAGUACGUGAAAUUGUUGAAAGGGAAGGGCAUUUGAUCAGACAUGGCGUUUGCUUCGGCUUUCGCUGGGCCAGCAUCAGUUUUAGCGGUUGGAUAAAUCCUCGGGAAUGUGGCUCUGCUUCGGUAGAGUGUUAUAGCCCGUGGGAAUACAGCCAGCUGGGACUGAGGAUUGCGACUUUUGUCAAGGAUGCUGGCGUAAUGGUUAAAUGCCGCCCGUCUUGAAACACGGACCAAGGAGUCUAACGUCUAUGCGAGUGUUUGGGUGUAAAACCCGUACGCGUAAUGAAAGUGAACGUAGGUG
rnacentral:rRNA from 1 species